AUUUCAGGGCCACGAUCUUGUCCUGAUGUGCGGGGUUUGCGGUGUCACGCAUCCAUCCAUCCAUCUUCUCAGACCCGCAAGGUCGGCAUAUUUAGGCGCGCGGAGGAGGAGUGCUGGUGACUGUCAUGACAGCGCAUCCUGUUAAUAACCAUGUCAUCCUAAUUAGUAAAGUAAUUAUGAGGUGCUAAUGAGCGUUCAAAGGUAGUAAGAAAAUUCAGCACUUUUUUCCCCCCUCUUCUUCUUCUUCUUCUUCUUCUUCCUCCUUCUUCUCGACGUGGAUUUGACGGAUAUCGGAGGGGAGAAGAUGUGCGGGGCGUGCGGGGAAGAAGGCUGCAGGUCCUGUAUGUGUGUGUGCACGCGGCUCUCCUCCCCGGGAUGAUGCGUUCAGGGGAACUUGCCACUUCUCACAGAGAGCCGAAUCAGGUUGAUACUGCUGACGAUGACUACUGACGUGAGGCGGAUGAAGAUUUUAUGCUGUUGUUGAGGAAAUCUGGAUUUGCAGUGAUGCUCGCUGCUCCUUCCUCUCUCUGGCUGCUCCGUCAGGGACGCAGGCGCAGUCUGAGCACCAGGCGGCGACAAAACCGAGUCUGCGGGUCGAGCGGUGCUGGUGGAUCCAGGAACCAACCGGAGGCCUCAGCUGCCCUCUGACGACUUCACAUCCCGGCAGCACCGACUUGAUGUUAAAUUAACACGGACUCGGAGAUAAUUACCGACCAGUCAGCCGUAUUAUGGUGCAGCUCAGAAAUGAAGCAGAGUGGCAGUCAGAGAGCAACAGAUACAUGUUAAAGAAACACGCACCGUCUCCACACUGGAAGCCCCAAUUAACAAUAAUCAGGCCUUUUCAAAAUAAAACGCGGUCCGACGCUCGCGUCUCGUGUCCGGACGCGUCAGUCAGCUGCGGACAAGCAGCCGAUCAAUCGCGUUUAUUGGCUUUAAGGCGCCGCAGGAGCGACAUUGAACGCCACCAGUUAGUGUUUCGUCUUAUCGGGAAUCAGCUUGAUGGUCGAUGAUGAUGGGACGGUGUAACAGUGGCUGGCACCAUAUUGAUUCUCCGGCGGCUUUGCGUGUAAGCUGUCACUUCACCGCUGGCGACCUUUUGGGUUGCACAAUUGCAGCGUUUACAGAGAGA